rnacentral:rRNA from 1 species
UUGGGUUAAGUCCCGCAACGAGCGCAACCCUUGAUCUUAGUUGCCAUCAUUAAGUUGGGCACUCUAAGGUGACUGCCGGUGACAAACCGGAGGAAGGUGGGGAUGACGUCAAAUCAUCAUGCCCCUUAUGACCUGGGCUACACACGUGCUACAAUGGACGGUACAAAGAGCUGCAAGACCGCGAGGUGGAGCUAAUCUCAUAAAACCGUUCUCAGUUCGGAUUGUAGGCUGCAACUCGCCUACAUGAAGCUGGAAUCGCUAGUAAUCGCGGAUCAGCAUGCCGCGGUGAAUACGUUCCCGGGCCUUGUACACACCGCCCGUCACACCACGAGAGUUUGUAACACCCGAAGUCGGUGGGGUAACCUUUUUGGAGCCAGCCGCCUAAGGUGGGACA